AGAGUUUGAUCCUGGCUCAGGACGAACGCUGGCGGCGUGCUUAAAACAUGCAAGUCGAACGAACACUUCGGUGUUAGUGGCAAACGGCUGAGUAACGCGUGGGUGACCUGCCUGGAAGUGGGGAAUAACUGCCCGAAAGGGUGGCUAAUACCGCAUGUGAUGGAUGUUCCAUUACAUCCAUGAAAGUCUUCGGAUGCUUCGAGAGGGGCCCGCGGUACAUUAGCUAGUUGGUGAGGUAACGGCUCACCAAGGCGACGAUGUAUAGCUGGUCUGAGAGGAUGAUCAGCCACACUGGGACUGAGACACGGCCCAGACUCCUACGGGAGGCAGCAGUCGGGAAUCUUGCGCAAUGGGCGAAAGCCUGACGCAGCAACACCGUGUGAGCGACGAAGGCCUUCGGGUCGUAAAGCUCUGUUGUUGGGGACGAAGGGUUAGGGGUUAAUAGCCCCGAGCCUGACGGUACCCUUCGAGGAAGCCCCGGCUAACUACGUGCCAGCAGCCGCGGUAAUACGUAGGGGGCGAGCGUUGUCCGGAAUUAUUGGGCGUAAAGAGCGUGUAGGCGGUUCGGUAAGUCUGCCGUGAAAACCCAGGGCUCAACCCUGGGCGUGCGGUGGAUACUGCCGGGCUAGAGGGUGGUAGAGGCGAGUGGAAUUCCCGGUGUAGCGGUGAAAUGCGCAGAUAUCGGGAGGAACACCAGUAGCGAAGGCGGCUCGCUGGGCCACACCUGACGCUGAGACGCGAAAGCGUGGGGAGCAAACAGGAUUAGAUACCCCAGUAGUCC
rnacentral:rRNA from 1 species